CAUGCUGGAGGCCUGCGGUGGCCAAACGCGCCAGGCAGACGGCUGCAAGUCGCACGGGCCCGCGCUUCAGCUGCAUUGAAUCGACAGAGCUCCUCGAUGUGGUAAGGUGCUCCUGCUCAGCCUCGGGGGAAGAUGCUCCUUCCUCGGACUGGUGGACGAGGAUGCAGUUGGGGUCAAUACAAGCAACUUCAGAGGAAGUCACUGCUUGAUUAUAAGACUACGUCUUUGGACUGCAGAGGACAGAGUGUGCGAGGAAAACGAGCACUUCUGGGCCAUCCACAAGCAGCGGACACCCUCUGAAUAUCGUAUGGGGUAUCUACCCAACGGUGUUUGGUUCCUUUACUUUGGAAAUUGAAGCACAUCCCUUUACCGAAAGGGACUGCGUUGUUCGGAGACCUGGCUGGGACAAGCCACCCGCAUGCGCUUUGUGUCACGCAGAGAGCCCAGGAGGGUGGGUCCAAACCUUCCUGGAGCACAAAGGGGCUGAGAAGAGGACGGAUCGACCGGCAUGCUGCCUGUGCGGCACCACCAGGAACAAUCCAAUCCUCCAGCUGACCCCUUUACGUUCUCGCAUUGCUGCUAUUAGUGACAGCUAACAGAGCUCACACGUGCACGCA